UACGUAGGGUGCGAGCGUUGUCCGGAAUUAUUGGGCGUAAAGAGCUCGUAGGUGGUUCGGUAAGUCGGAUGUGAAAUCUCCAGGCUCAACCUGGAGGGGUCAUUCGAUACUGCCGUGACUAGAGGUCGGUAGGGGAGUGUGGAAUUCCUGGUGGAGCGGUGAAAUGCGCAGAUAUCGGGAGGAACACCAAUGGCGAAGGCAGCUCGCUGGGACGUGACUGACGCUGAGACGCGAAAGCGUGGGGAGCAAACAGG
rnacentral:rRNA from 1 species